UAGGGAAUCUUCGGCAAUGGGGGCAACCCUGACCGAGCAACGCCGCGUGAGUGAAGAAGGUUUUCGGAUCGUAAAGCUCUGUUGUAAGAGAAGAACGUGUGUGAGAGUGGAAAGUUCACACAGUGACGGUAACUUACCAGAAAGGUACGGCUAACUACGUGCCAGCAGCCGCGGUAAUACGUAGGUCCCGAGCGUUGUCCGGAUUUAUUGGGCGUAAAGCGAGCGCAGGCGGUUUAAUAAGUCUGAAGUUAAAGGCAGUGGCUUAACCAUUGUUCGCUUUGGAAACUGUUAAACUUGAGUGCAGAAGGGGAGAGUGGAAUUCCAUGUGUAGCGGUGAAAUGCGUAGAUAUAUGGAGGAACACCGGUGGCGAAAGCGGCUCUCUGGUCUGUAACUGACGCUGAGGCUCGAAAGCGUGGGGAGCAAACAGG
rnacentral:rRNA from 1 species